GUAACUUGGCUGAAAAAUAGUUUUUCAGAGGCGGGGGUAUGGUCUGGCCAGAGAAUUCGAACUGUAGCGCCAAAAUGCCAGACUGCAGUUCUGCGAUUAGCAGGCUUGUGUUUGCGCCGGCGCAAACCGUCCUGCUUGCUUGGCAUUCUGGAUGUUUUUUGUGAGUCGUCCUAGUUCAGUCUGUCUUGUCUUGUCGCCCCGUUGUUGUGCAGACCGAAUUGUGUGUUUGUCAUGUAAUUUCGAUCGGAAAUUUCUUGUAAAUAAUUGUUUGAGUGUAGUGUGUGUGAAUUAUGAGUAUAACAGCGUAAAUAGUGUUAAAUUGAAUUAAUUUGAAUCGGAUUUGAAUUUAUAAAGAAUCCAGUUUGAGCUUUGUUCCAAACACAGUGCAGAGCCUGCAAGUUGAACGUGAAAAGGCUGCCCGGAAGCGAGAACCUGUCUUUUUUCCCGAUUUCAUCCCACCCUGAACCUGACCAAAACACCUAAUAAAGGCUUCGAAGGGCAAGUAAUCAAUAUUGAAUUAAAUCUGGUGAGUUUUUUGCUCUUUUUUAUUGUUCAUUAAUGCAGAGUUUAACUGUACAAAUAACCUGGCUCAAAUUGAAGAUUAAAUUUUGCCCCUUGUUUGUAUUUGAUUAUUUGAAUAGUAAAUUACAGUCCUCUGGUAGCUCUAGCCUGAGCUUUGUUCAGAACAAAUAUAAAACAACAACGAAUAAAAAUAACCUCAUGAAUACACUAAGUCAAAUAAAUCUUUAGAAAAUGGUCUGCAUGGGCAAAAAAUGAUUGUGUGCAAACCAGAGUUGCAUAUUACAGGUUUUACAGAGAGAAAAGAAACACUAAUUUUGAUGCAUUCAGAAUCUUAUUGAAUAUUAUUAUUACAUACAUAGAAUUAUUAAAUAGCUCAAAAAAAUUAAUUAGUGUCUAAUUCACCAGCGAAUCUAUCGGUCAAGUGUUUCAAUGAUAAAGUCUCUUCCUAUCACCUGCGAUUUUUUGUAAAUAAAUUAUCAGUGACGGUCACCUGUUAUUUUCUAUAAUAAUUGACCGAUCGAUUGAGAUUCAAAUCGACGCUUUCACAUUUAUCUUUAUGUUGUUAUGUAUGUUCCGCAUUUACGGCGAAACGCGGCAAUAGAUUUUCUUGAAAUUUGUCUGGUAUGUUCCUUUUUGAAUUGCGCGUCGACGUAUAUGAAAGGUUUUUGAAAUUUCCCAUUCUAACAAUAGUCAACAACUAAUUUUAUAUCAGAUAUACCGGGACAACUUGGAUCACAGCUAUCUACUAUGGAAGUAGAAAUUGCCAACUAUGCCAUCCUAUCAUUUUCACUGAGUAUUUAAUCUCACCGUAAAUGAUAGCAAACCAAUGUUGAUGAGAUGCUGACGUUUUGUUCGAAUUGCAUGCCACUUGUGUAUUUCAGACAUUCGAGUAUUUCAUAGUACGUUACACUACAGAACUUGGUGAAGUUUCAGGGUUAUUGUGAUAACUGAUGUGGUUGGUUUUCAGAUGGCUGAAUUUCUGAUCGAACGUAACAGCUCGGUGACAAGAAAGAACGAAGACCCCUCCAUUACACCUCAUAAAUGGGAUACAAUGACCUUGUGCGCCUUCUCUACAACUGUGGAGCUGACAUCAACGCUAAAGAUAAGAUGAUACCAAAACAUAUUACACAGUGUAAAUGGACAGAUAGAAAGUGUGAACAUCAAAAGCCAUCGUGUGUGUUACCCAGUUUCCAUUCUGCUUCUAACAAUAGUAACCGAACAUCCAACAUCAUAACUUUAUUAUAUCAUCUCGUUAAUUUUGAUAUCACAUUAACUAAAAAGCUUUCCUCAUAAUAUACAAGAAAUUAAUACAUUGCCGAGAUUGUCAAAGAUGUGAAUUUUCAAUGUGCUUUGAUGCAAAUUAUUGCAAAAAACUAAUAUCAUGGUUAGCUAUGCAUAAAUUAAUAGGCAUGAUGGUCAUUCUUUACUGAAUCGAAAUAAGCUGUUAUAACUUUGUCAACUAUUAAUUUGGUUUUCAAUAAACUAGUUAUGAUCAGA